GGCGAACGCUGGCGGCGUGCUUAACACAUGCAAGUCGAACGGAAAGGCCCCUUUGGGGGUACUCGAGUGGCGAACGGGUGAGUAACACGUGAGUAACCUGCCCUUGACUUCGGGAUAACUUCAGGAAACUGGGGCUAAUACCGGAUAGGAAUCCUUGCUGCAUGGUGGGGGUUGGAAAGCUUCGGCGGUUUUGGAUGGACUCGCGGCUUAUCAGCUUGUUGGUGGGGUAGUGGCUUACCAAGGCUUUGACGGGUAGCCGGCCUGAGAGGGCGACCGGCCACAUUGGGACUGAGAUACGGCCCAGACUCCUACGGGAGGCAGCAGUGGGGAAUAUUGCACAAGGGGCGGAAGCCUGAUGCAGCAACGCCGCGGGCGGGAUGACGGCCUUCGGGUUGUAAACCGCUUUCAGCAGGGGCGAAGCUUGUGGUGACGGUACCUGCAGAAGAAGCACCGGCUAACUACGUG
rnacentral:rRNA from 1 species